CAGGGGAGCAGUUAAGUAAACAACACUGAAUACUGGUGUGUGCUGUGUCCCUGGGAAUGAAGCCAAGGUGACUGCAUCAAGACACCAAGGCUGAAUAGAGUCUGGAACAAAGUAGUUUUCCAUUAAGAAAGUCGAGCUUGUAUCAUGGCCAUCAUCCUGAAGAUGCCUACCAAGUGUGUUAUUUGUAAGUGUGUUAUUAUCAGUGUUAUUUUGUGUCGUCUCAUUGCUGAGAUACAGUUCCACUGUUAGAAACUUUGAAAUUGGCUGUACAUGUGGAAAUAUAUUGAUGCUAUA